AGACCCGAAACCCGGUGAUCUAGCCAUGGGCAGGUUGAAGGUUGGGUAACACUAACUGGAGGACCGAACCGACUAAUGUUGAAAAAUUAGCGGAUGACCUGUGGCUGGGGGUGAAAGGCCAAUCAAACCGGGAGAUAGCUGGUUCUCCCCGAAAGCUAUUUAGGUAGCGCCUCGUGAACUCAUCUCCGGGGGUAGAGCACUGUUUCGGCUAGGGGGCCAUCCCGGCUUACCAACCCGAUGCAAACUGCGAAUACCGGAGAAUGUUAUCACGGGAGACACACGGCGGGUGCUAACGUCCGUCGUGAAGAGGGAAACAACCCAGACCGCCAGCUAAGGUCCCAAAGUCAUGGUUAAGUGGGAAACGAUGUGGGAAGGCCCAGACAGCCAGGAUGUUGGCUUAGAAGCAGCCAUCAUUUAAAGAAAGCGUAAUAGCUCACUGGUCGAGUCGGCCUGCGCGGAAGAUGUAACGGGGCUAAACCAUGCACCGAAGCUGCGGCAGCGACACUUUAGUGUUGUUGGGUAGGGGAGCGUUCUGUAAGCCGUUGAAGGUGUCCUGUGAGGGGUGCUGGAGGUAUCAGAAGUGCGAAUGCUGACAUAAGUAACGAUAAAGCGGGUGAAAAGCCCGCUCGCCGGAAGACCAAGGGUUCCUGUCCAACGUUAAUCGGGGCAGGGUGAGUCGACCCCUAAGGCGAGGCCGAAAGGCGUAGUCGAUGGGAAACGGGUUAAUAUUCCCGUACUUGGUGUUACUGCGAAGGGGGGACGGAGAAGGCUAUGUUGGCCGGGCGACGGUAGUCCCGGUUUAAGCGUGUAGGCUGGUUUUCCAGGCAAAUCCGGAAAAUCAAGGCUGAGGCGUGAUGACGAGGCACCACGGUGCUGAAGCAACAAAUGCCCUGCUUCCAGGAAAAGCCUCUAAGCAUCAGGUAACAUCAAAUCGUACCCCAAACCGACACAGGUGGUCAGGUAGAGAAUACCAAGGCGCUUGAGAGAACUCGGGUGAAGGAACUAGGCAAAAUGGUGCCGUAACUUCGGGAGAAGGCACGCUGACACGUAGGUGAAGUGAUUUACUCAUGGAGCUGAAGUCAGUCGAAGAUACCAGCUGGCUGCAACUGUUUAUUAAAAACACAGCACUGUGCAAACACGAAAGUGGACGUAUACGGUGUGACGCCUGCCCGGUGCCGGAAGGUUAAUUGAUGGGGUCAGCGCAAGCGAAGCUCCUGAUCGAAGCCCCGGUAAACGGCGGCCGUAACUAUAACGGUCCUAAGGUAGCGAAAUUCCUUGUCGGGUAAGUUCCGACCUGCACGAAUGGCGUAAUGAUGGCCAGGCUGUCUCCACCCGAGACUCAGUGAAAUUGAACUCGCUGUGAAGAUGCAGUGUACCCGCGGCAAGACGGAAAGACCCCGUGAACCUUUACUAUAGCUUGACACUGAACAUUGAGCCUUGAUGUGUAGGAUAGGUGGGAGGCUUUGAAGCGUGGACGCCAGUCUGCGUGGAGCCGACCUUGAAAUACCACCCUUUAAUGUUUGAUGUUCUAACGUGGACCCGUAAUCCGGGUUGCGGACAGUGUCUGGUGGGUAGUUUGACUGGGGCGGUCUCCUCCUAAAGAGUAACGGAGGAGCACGAAGGUUGGCUAAUCCUGGUCGGACAUCAGGAGGUUAGUGCAAUGGCAUAAGCCAGCUUGACUGCGAGCGUGACGGCGCGAGCAGGUGCGAAAGCAGGUCAUAGUGAUCCGGUGGUUCUGAAUGGAAGGGCCAUCGCUCAACGGAUAAAAGGUACUCCGGGGAUAACAGGCUGAUACCGCCCAAGAGUUCAUAUCGACGGCGGUGUUUGGCACCUCGAUGUCGGCUCAUCACAUCCUGGGGCUGAAGUAGGUCCCAAGGGUAUGGCUGUUCGCCAUUUAAAGUGGUACGCGAGCUGGGUUUAGAACGUCGUGAGACAGUUCGGUCCCUAUCUGCCGUGGGCGCUGGAAGACUGAGGGGGGCUGCUCCUAGUACGAGAGGACCGGAGUGGACGCAUCACUGGUGUUCGGGUUGUCAUGCCAAUGGCACUGCCCGGUAGCUAAAUGCGGAAAAGAUAAGUGCUGAAAGCAUCUAAGCACGAAACUUGCCCCGAGAUGAGUCUUCCCUGAGACCUUGAGUC
rnacentral:rRNA from 1 species